GUGGUGGCUUAGUGGUAGAGUGCUCGCCUAGUGUGUGUGAGGCACUGGGUUCAAUUCUCAGCACCACA
rnacentral:tRNA from 1 species